GACGAACCGUGCGAACGUUGUUCGGAUUCACUGGGCUUAAAGGGCGCGUAGGCGGAUCAGCAAGUCUGGGGUGAAAUCCUUCGGCUCAACCGGAGAAGUGCCUCCGAUACUGCUGGUCUGGAGGGAGGUAGGGGUGUGUGGAACUUCCGGUGGAGCGGUGAAAUGCGUAGAUAUCGGAAGGAACGCCGGUGGCGAAAGCGACGCACUGGACCUCUUCUGACGCUGAUGCGCGAAAGCUAGGGGAGCAAACGGG
rnacentral:rRNA from 1 species